rnacentral:rRNA from 1 species
GACGAACGCUGGCGGCGUGCCUAAUACAUGCAAGUCGAACGCAGUUGCGAACGGGUGAGUAACGCGUAGGUAACUGCCUCAUAGCGGGGGAUAACUAUUGGAAACGAUAGCUAAUACCGCAUACUGUGAGAUGGACCUGCGUUGUAUUAGCUAGUUGGGGAGGUAAAGGCUCACCAAGGCGACGGUACAUAGCCGGACUGGGAGGGUGAUCGGCCACACUGGGACCGGGGACCGGGCCAGGCUCCUCAGGGGGGGAGCAGUAGGGGAAUUUCGGCAAUGGGCGGAAGGCUGACCGAGCAACGCCGCGUGGGUGAAGAAGGGUUUCGGGUCGGAAAGCUCUUUUGGUAGGGAAGCGGUACCUAACCAGAAAGGGACGGCUAACUACGUGCCAGCAGCCGCGGUAAUAC